UACCAAUGCUGAGGACAUUUCUACAGGAGAUCCUUGAAUAGAUCCCAUAUCUCAAAAAGAUACUCCAAUUAUGUUUGCACAAAUGAAGAUAUCUCAUUCCUAAGCUU